rnacentral:rRNA from 1 species
UGAAUACGAGACGCUAAGGCGUCGAAGUAGUGUAUGUCAUACUUCCAAGAAAAGCUUGCACUGUCAUAGAUAAAAAACGCCUGUACCAUAACCGACACAGGUGGGUAGGUAGAGUAUACUAAGGGGCGCGAGAUAACUCUCCCUAAGGAACUCGGCAAAAUAACUCCGUAACUUCGGGAGAAGGAGUGCCUUAUUCGUAAGGUUGCAAUAACAAGAUCCAAGCAACUGUUUAUCAAAAACACAGGUCUCCGCUAAGUCGUAAGACGAUGUAUGGGGGCUGACGCCUGCCCAGUGCCAGAAGGUUAAAGAAGUUGGUUAGCAAUUGCGAAGCUGAUAACUGAAGCCCUGGUGAACGGCGGCCGUAACAAUAACGGUCCUAAGGUAGCGAAAUUCCUUGUCGGGUAAGUUCCGACCCGCACGAAAGGCGUAAUGAUUUGGAUACUGUCUCGGAGAGGGGCUCGGUGAAAUAGACUUGUCUGUGAAGAUGCGGACUACCUGCACCAGGACAGAAAGACCCUAUGAAGCUUUACUGUAACUUGAAAUUGAAAUUGGACUUUAUUCGCGCAGUAUAGGUGGGAGGCGUUGAUUAUAAUCUUGUGGGAUUAUUGGAGCCAUCAGUGAGAUACCACUCUUGUAAUGUUAGAUUUCUAACUUUGAAUCAUUAUCUGGUCAAAGAACAGUUUCAGGCGGGCAGUUUGACUGGGGCGGUCGCCUCCUAAACGGUAACGGAGGCGUACAAAGGUUUCCUCUGAACGGUUAGAAAUCGUAUCUAGAGUGUAAAGGCAUAAGGAAGCUUGACUGUGAGACCUACAAGUCGAGCAGGGACGAAAGUCGGUCUUAGUGAUCUGACGGUACUGAGUGGAAAGGCCGUCACUCAACGGAUAAAAGUUACUCUAAGGAUAACAGGCUGAUCUCCCCCAAGAGUUCACAUCGACGGGGAGGUUUGGCACCUCGAUGUCGGCUCAUCGCAUCCUGGGGCGGUAGUACGUCCCAAGGGUUGGGCUGUUCGCCCAUGAAAGCGGUACGCGAGCUGGGUUCAGAACGUCGUGAGACAGUUCGGUCCAUAUCCGGUGUAGGCGUUAGAAUAUUGAGAGGAGCCUUCUUUAGUACGAGAGGACCGAGAAGGACAUACCUCUGGUGUACCAGUUAUCGUGCCAACGGUAAACGCUGGGUAGCUAUGUAUGGAGUGGAUAACCGCUGGAAGCAUCUAAGUGGGAAGCCCACCUCAAGAUAAG